CCUACGGGUGGCAGCAGUGAGGAAUAUUGGUCAAUGGGCGAGAGCCUGAACCAGCCAAGUCGCGUGAGGGAAGACGGUCCUACGGAUUGUAAACCUCUUUUGUAAGGGAGCAAGGAGCGCCACGAGUGGUGCGGCGAGAGUACCUGAAGAAAAAGCAUCGGCUAACUCCGUGCCAGCAGCCGCGGUAAUACGGGGGAUGCAAGCGUUAUCCGGAUUUAUUGGGUUUAAAGGGUGCGUAGGCUGUGAGGUAAGUCAGCGGUGAAAUGCCCCCGCUCAACGGGGUGAAGUGCCAUUGAUACUGCCUUGCUGGAAUGCGGAUGCCGUGGGAGGAAUGUGUGGUGUAGCGGUGAAAUGCAUAGAUAUCACACAGAACACCGAUUGCGAAGGCAUCUCACGAAUCCGCGAUUGACGCUGAUGCACGAAAGCGUGGGUAUCAAACAGGAUUAGAUACCCGAGUAGUC
rnacentral:rRNA from 1 species